rnacentral:rRNA from 1 species
UUCUUAGUGGCGAACGGGUGAGUAACGCGUAGGCAACCUACCCUUUAGACGGGGACAACAUUCCGAAAGGAGUGCUAAUACCGGAUGUGAUCAUCUUGCCGCAUGGCAGGAUGAAGAAAGAUGGCCUCUACAAGUAAGCUAUCGCUAAAGGAUGGGCCUGCGUCUGAUUAGCUAGUUGGUAGUGUAACGGACUACCAAGGCGAUGAUCAGUAGCCGGUCUGAGAGGGUGAUCGGCCACAUUGGAACUGAGAGACGGUCCAAACUCC